rnacentral:rRNA from 1 species
AUGCACGCUGGCGGCGUGCCUCAUACAUGCAAGUCGCGCGAACAGACGAGGAGCUUGCUCCUCUGACGUUAGCGGCGGACGGGUGAGUAACACGUGGAUAACCUACCUAUAAGACUGGGAUAACUUCGGGAAACCGGAGCUAAUACCGGAUAAUAUAUUGAACCGCAUGGUUCAAUAGUGAAAGACGGUUUUGCUGUCACUUAUAGAUGGAUCCGCGCCGCAUUAGCUAGUUGGUAAGGUAACGGCUUACCAAGGCAACGAUGCGUAGCCGACCUGAGAGGGUGAGUGGCCACCCGGGACAUGAGACACGGCCCACCCCCCGAGGGGGGGCAGAAGUGGGGAAGUCCCCGCAAGGGCCAAAAGCGGAGAGGCGCAGCCCGGGGGGGAUAAAAAUGGUUUUCGUAUCAAAAACCUUUUUUAUGGGGAAAAAAAAAAUGUGAAAGUAACUAGGCCCGCUUUGCGGGUACCUAAUAAAAAAGCCGGGGCAACCCCCGUC